AAAGCACCGGCCCCGCAAAAGGUUUAAUAACCUCAAAAGGAAAAUUUGUCUGGGGGGCGCCGCACAAACGGCCACAAAAGGUUUAACAACCCCAAAAGGAAACUUUGACUGGGGGGCACCGCGCAAACGGGUGUAAAGCAUGUUGGUUUUAAUUUCCGAGUGCAAGCGCGAAAGACCCCUUAGCCUGGGGCCUUUAACCAGAGGCCGGGAAUCCCUGCAGAAGAUGUGGGAGUGCCCUUCGGGGGGAAUCGGGAACACAGGGUGCUUGCAUGGCUUUGUCGUCAGCUCAGUGUCGUGAGAUGUUGGGUUAAGUGGCCGCACCGAAGCGCAACCCCUUGUCUUUAAGUUGCCCAACGGGGUUCGGGCCCGGGGCAACUCUAGAGAAGGGCCUGCCCGGUGACAACCCGAAGGAAGGUGGGAAAUGAGGUCAAGUCCUCAUGGCCUUUAUGUACAGGGCUACACACGUGCUACAAUGGCGCGUACAGAGGGAAGCCAACCCGCGAGGGGGAGCAGACCCCAGAAAGCGCGCCGUAGUUCGGAUUGCAGUCUGCAACUGGGACUGCAUGAAGUCGGAAUCGCUAGUAAUCGCGGAUCAGCAUGCCCCCGGUGAAUACGUUCCCGGGCCUUGUACACACCGCCCGUCACACCAUGGGAGUAGAUUGUACCAGAAGCGGCUAGCUCAACCUUCGGGAGGGCGGUCACCACGGUAUGGUUUAUGACUGGGGUGAAGUCGUAACAAGGUAGCCGGAGGGGAACCUGCGGUUGGAACACCUCAAU
rnacentral:rRNA from 1 species